rnacentral:tRNA from 1 species
GCCUGGGUGGCUCAGUCGGUUAAGCAUCGGACUUCGGCUCAGGUCAUGAUCUCACGGUUCAUGGGUUCGAGCCCCAUAUCAGGCU